UACGAAGGGGGCUAGCGUUGCUCGGAAUUACUGGGCGUAAAGCGCACGUAGGCGGUCUUUUAAGUCGGGGGUGAAAUCCUGGAGCUCAACUCCAGAACUGCCUUCGAUACUGGAAGACUUGAGUCCGGGAGAGGUGAGUGGAACUGCGAGUGUAGAGGUGAAAUUCGUAGAUAUUCGCAAGAACACCAGUGGCGAAGGCGGCUCACUGGCCGGUACUGACGCUGAGGUGCGAAAGCGUGGGGAGCAACAGG
rnacentral:rRNA from 1 species